GGUUAAGCGACUAAGCGUACACGGUGGAUGCCCUGGCAGUCAGAGGCGAUGAAGGACGUGCUAAUCUGCGAAAAGCGCCGGCGAGGUGAUAUGAACCUUUGACCCGGCGAUGUCCGAAUGGGGAAACCCAGUGCAAUUCGUUGCACUAUCGUUAACUGAAUACAUAGGUUAACGAGGCGAACCGGGGGAACUGAAACAUCUAAGUACCCCGAGGAAAAGAAAUCAACCGAGAUUCCCCCAGUAGCGGCGAGCGAACGGGGAGCAGCCCAGAGUCUGAAUCAGCUUGUGUGUUAGUGGAAGCGUCUGGAAAGUCGCACGGUACAGGGUGACAGUCCCGUACACGAAAGCACACAGGUUGUGAACUCGAAGAGUAGGGCGGGACACGUGGUAUCCUGUCUGAAUAUGGGGGGACCAUCCUCCAAGGCUAAAUACUCCUGACUGACCGAUAGUGAACCAGUACCGUGAGGGAAAGGCGAAAAGAACCCCGGCGAGGGGAGUGAAAAAGAACCUGAAACCGUGUACGUACAAGCAGUGGGAGCACCUUCGUGGUGUGACUGCGUACCUUUUGUAUAAUGGGUCAGCGACUUAUAUUCUGUAGCAAGGUUAACCGUAUAGGGGAGCCGAAGGGAAACCGAGUCUUAACUGGGCGUUAAGUUGCAGGGUAUAGACCCGAAACCCGGUGAUCUAGCCAUGGGCAGGUUGAAGGUUGGGUAACACUAACUGGAGGACCGAACCGACUAAUGUUGAAAAAUUAGCGGAUGACUUGUGGCUGGGGGUGAAAGGCCAAUCAAACCGGGAGAUAGCUGGUUCUCCCCGAAAGCUAUUUAGGUAGCGCCUCGUGAACUCAUCUUCGGGGGUAGAGCACUGUUUCGGCUAGGGGGCCAUCCCGGCUUACCAACCCGAUGCAAACUACGAAUACCGAAGAAUGUUAUCACGGGAGACACACGGCGGGUGCUAACGUCCGUCGUGAAGAGGGAAACAACCCAGACCGCCAGCUAAGGUCCCAAAGUCAUGGUUAAGUGGGAAACGAUGUGGGAAGGCACAGACAGCCAGGAUGUUGGCUUAGAAGCAGCCAUCAUUUAAAGAAAGCGUAAUAGCUCACUGGUCGAGUCGGCCUGCGCGGAAGAUGUAACGGGGCUAAACCAUGCACCGAAGCUGCGGCAGCGACGCGUAUGCGUUGUUGGGUAGGGGAGCGUUCUGUAAGCCGUUGAAGGUGUGCUGUGAGGCAUGCUGGAGGUAUCAGAAGUGCGAAUGCUGACAUAAGUAACGAUAAAGCGGGUGAAAAGCCCGCUCGCCGGAAGACCAAGGGUUCCUGUCCAACGUUAAUCGGGGCAGGGUGAGUCGACCCCUAAGGCGAGGCCGAAAGGCGUAGUCGAUGGGAAACAGGUUAAUAUUCCUGUACUUGGUGUUACUGCGAAGGGGGGACGGAGAAGGCUAUGUUAGCCGGGCGACGGUUGUCCCGGUUUAAGCAUGUAGGCGGAGGUUCCAGGUAAAUCCGGUACCUUUUAACGCUGAGGUGUGAUGACGAGGCACUACGGUGCUGAAGUAACAAAUGCCCUGCUUCCAGGAAAAGCCUCUAAGCAUCAGGUAACACGAAAUCGUACCCCAAACCGACACAGGUGGUCAGGUAGAGAAUACCAAGGCGCUUGAGAGAACUCGGGUGAAGGAACUAGGCAAAAUGGUGCCGUAACUUCGGGAGAAGGCACGCUGAUAUGUAGGUGAAGCCCCUGCGGGUGGAGCUGAAAUCAGUCGAAGAUACCAGCUGGCUGCAACUGUUUAUUAAAAACACAGCACUGUGCAAACACGAAAGUGGACGUAUACGGUGUGACGCCUGCCCGGUGCCGGAAGGUUAAUUGAUGGGGUUAGCGGCAACGCGAAGCUCUUGAUCGAAGCCCCGGUAAACGGCGGCCGUAACUAUAACGGUCCUAAGGUAGCGAAAUUCCUUGUCGGGUAAGUUCCGACCUGCACGAAU
rnacentral:rRNA from 1 species